rnacentral:misc_RNA from 1 species
UAGAUACGUUAAUCGGUGUUAUAUGCUAUAGCUCAUAACACAUCACUCGACUAUUCUAAUGCGCAAUGCAGCUAGUCAUUCAUAAGACUAGUUUCAUCUGAUUGAGAGUAUCAUAAAGUUUAAUAUUAAAUAAAUUAUUUAAUAUAAAAAACUGCAUUUGACUUCUAGGAAUUCUAAUCAUUGAAUUCUAAUAUGCGAUACUAAUAAAUAUUAAAUUAUUUAUUGGAUCGCUUUUGUGCUUUAUUUAAAAAGCUAAUUUAAACAAAUAGAAGUUAUAAUUCUAUGUUUGAUGUUUUUAAAUAAAAAUUCUCAAACUACGUAUCUCAGUCAGAUGAGAAUACCCGCUGAACUUAAA